AGGAGGAGACUGGAGACUGACUGUGAAGCAGCUUUGUCUGGAACUCCAGCUACUAAGGAGCUUUUCCGUCUGUGCAAGAUAGCCAGAGCCUUCCCAGUGAGCAGUGCAGCAUGUGAGCAAGCGGCCUGGGUGUCCUCAGCAUGUCCAAGCCUCUUCUUGGGAGAGUUUCAGCGCGGCUGACACUGUAGCUGAGAACAUGACUCUGAUCGGCGAAAUCAACCAGCUGCGUCUGGCCAGGACCCAGAUCAAGGACUACAAGACUCAGGUCUCCACG